AACGUAGGUACCGAGCGUUAUCCGGAUUUACUGGGCGUAAAGCGCGUUCAGGCGGUUUGGCAAGUCGGGCAUGAAAUCUCUCGGCUCAACCGGGAGAGGUUGUCCGAUACUUCCAGACUUGAGGGCAGUAGAGGGUGGUGGAAUUCCGGGUGUAGUGGUGAAAUGCGUAGAUAUCCGGAGGAACACCAGUGGCGAAAGCGGCCACCUGGACUGCACCUGACGCUGAGGAGCGAAAGUGUGGGGAGCGAACAGG
rnacentral:rRNA from 1 species